AAGACUACACUUUCAGGGAUCAUAUCUAUAAUUUGUUACUAGGGAAGUUUCUCUGACUGUGUAGAGUACCGGAAACAAUGAGGAGGGGACAUAUUGUUCUCUCCUGAGCAUGAAGUUGGCUAUUGGUGUUGCUUCACAGCAACUGCCAUUUUCCAUUGGUGAUCGUUCUUCUUUCUUUUGGGAGAGUAGAGGGAGAGGAUACAGUGUAAGUGGA
ensembl:snoRNA U3 Small nucleolar RNA U3